UCAAGCAUUAAGAGCGCAGGGUGGAUGCCUUGGCACUGAGAGCCGAUGAAGGACGUGAUAAGCUGCGAAAAGCUUCGGGGAGGAGCAAAUAUCCAUUGAUCCAGAGAUAUCCGAAUGAGGAAACUCAUCUAGAGAAAAAAGUCUAGAUAUCCAUACAUGAGUAAAGUAGUGUAUGAGAAGGGAACGUGGGGAACUGAAACAUCUUAGUACCCACAGGAAAAGAAAGAGAAAUCGAUUCCUAAAGUAGUGGCGAGCGAAAUAGGAAGAGCCCAAACCAUGAGUAGUAACACACAUGGGGUUCGGACCACGAUAUGUUAUAAGUAAUUCUAGUAGAAAUGUUUUGGAAAAGCAUACCAUAGAAGGUGAAAGUCCAGUAUAUGAAAGGAAAGCUUAGACUAGUGGCAUCCAGAGUAGUACGAGACACGAGAAAUCUCGUAUGAAAGAGCGGGGACCAUCCCGUAAGGCUAAAUACUACUUGGUGACCGAUAGUGAACUAGUACCGUGAGGGAAAGGUGAAAAGAACCCCGGGAGGGGAGUGAAAUAGAACAUGAAACCCUAUGUUUACAAGCAGACAAAGCACAUUAAGGUGCGAUGUCGUACUUUUUGUAGAACGGUCCAGCGAGUUAUUGUAUAUGGCGAGGUUAAAUACUAUGUAAGGUAUGGAGCCGAAGAGAAAUCGAGUCUGAAAAGGGCGAAUUAAGUCAUAUAUAAUAGACCCGAAACUGAGUGACCUAUCCAUGGUCAGGAUGAAGCUAGAGUAAAAUCUAGUGGAGGUCCGAACUGAUUGUCGUUAAAAAGGCACCGGAUGAACUGUGGAUAGCGGAGAAAUUCCAAUCGAACUCGGAGAUAGCUGGUUCUCCUCGAAAUAGCUUUAGGGCUAGCCUUGAGGUAAAGUCUAAUGGAGGUAAAGCACUGAUUGGACGCGGGUCCCCAAAAGGAUACCAACUUCUAUCAAACUCAGAAUGCCAUAUAGAUAUACUCAGGAGUCAGACUAUGUGAGAUAAGUUUCAUAGUCAAAAGGGAAAGAGCCCAGACCGACAGCUAAGGUCCCAAAGUGUGUGUUAAGUGGAAAAGGAUGUUAGGUUUCUAAGACAACUAGGAUGUUGGCUCAGAAGCAGCCACUCAUUUAAAGAGUGCGUAACAGCUCACUAGUCGAGAGGUCUAGCGCCGAAAAUGUCCGGGGCUAAAACACACCACCGAAGCUACGGAAUUACCUAUGGUAAUUGGUAGAGGAGCAUUCUGUAAGGAUGAAGCACAAUUGAAAGAGAGUGUGGACGAAACAGAAGAGAGAAUGCCGGAAUGAGUAGCGAGAUAUAUGUGAGAAUCAUAUAGGUCGAAUGUCUAAGGUUUCCUGGGUAAAGCUGAUCUGCUCAGGGUAAGUCGGGACCUAAGGUGAGGGCGAGAGCCGUAAUCGAUGGACAACAGGUAGAAAUUCCUGUACUACGUAUAAUCAGAACUGUGGGGACGCAGGAGGAUAGGAAAACCGGAGAAUGGAAAAAUCCGGCUAAGUACAAAGGUGUGAGUGAUAGGCAAAUCCGUCACUAUUAGCUGAAGUACGAAUGGGAGCGAAGAAAAGUAGCGAAGUUUCUGAAUCCACACUGUCAAGAAAAGCCGCUAUUGCGUUAUACGUACCCGUACCGCAAACCGACACAGGUAGACGAGGAGAAAAUCCACAGACCGACGGGAGAAGUGUUGUUAAGGAACUCGGCAAAAUGACCCCGUAACUUAGGGAUAAGGGGAGCCAACGCAAGUUGGUCACAGAAAAGAGGCUCAAGCGACUGUUUAGCAAAAACAUAGGUCUAUGCGAAACCGUAAGGUGAUGUAUAUGGGCUGACACCUGCCCGGUGCUGGAAGGUCAAAAGGAGAGGUUAGCGUAAGCGAAGCUUUGAAUUCAAGCCCCAGUAAACGGCGGCCGUAACUAUAACGGUCCUAAGGUAGCGAAAUUCCUUGUCAGGUAAGUUCUGACCCGCACGAAAGGUGUAACGAUUUGAGCACUGUCUCGACAACACGCCCGGUGAAAUUGAAGAACCAGUGAAGAUACUGGUUACCCGCAACAGGACGGAAAGACCCCAUGGAGCUUUACUGCAGCUUAAUAUUGGGAUUCGGUAUUGUAUGUACAGGAUAGGAGGGAGACUAAGAAGCUAGCACGCCAGUGUUGGUGGAGUCGAUGGUGGGAUACCUCUCUUAUAAUACUGAAUUUCUAACCUACUUCCGUAAUCCGGAAGAGGGACAUUGUUAGGCGGGCAGUUUGACUGGGGCGGUCGCCUCCGAAAGAGUAACGGAGGCGCUCAAAGGUCUUCUCAGAAUGAUUGGAAACCAUUCAAAGAGUGUAAAGGCAAAAGAAGGCUUGACUGCGAGAGUGACAACUCGAGCAGGUACGAAAGUAGGACUUAGUGAUCCGGUGGUAACAAGUGGGAGUGCCAUCGCUUAACGGAUAAAAGCUACCCUGGGGAUAACAGGCUUAUCUCCCCCAAGAGUUCACAUCGACGGGGAGGUUUGGCACCUCGAUGUCGGCUCAUCGCAUCCUGGGGCUGUAGUAGGUCCCAAGGGUUGGGCUGUUCGCCCAUUAAAGCGGUACGCGAGCUGGGUUCAGAACGUCGUGAGACAGUUCGGUCCCUAUCCGUUGUGGGCGUAGGAAAUUUGAUAGGAGCUGUCCUUAGUACGAGAGGACCGGGAUGGACGAACCUCUGGUGAAUCUGUUGGUAACCAAUGCCACAGCAGAAUAGCCAAGUUUGGAACGGAUAAACGCUGAAGGCAUCUAAGCGUGAAGCCAACCUAAAGACUAGAUUUCCCAUGCGAAAGCAGUAAGACUCCUUGUAGACGACAAGGUUGAUAGGCCAGAGAUGUAAGCACAGUAAUGUGUUCAGUUGACUGGUACUAAUAAGUCGAGGGCUUGACCAA
rnacentral:rRNA from 1 species